GGCUCGGAUACAUGGGUAAUGCCAACAUUUAUGGGGAAACUGAAGGAAAUGGAGCAGGGAAGGGAGCUUAGAAACUGCAGCCACAGAUCGGGGAGCAGUAGGACAGAGCGGUUCUGAGCAACCCAGGCAAGAGUUUCAAGAGCGCGCUGGUCACCAGCGUCACAUGCCUCAGAGAAGUCAAGAGACCUGAGAAGUGUCCAUUGGAUUGAUCCGGCAAUUAUGGAAUCUUUUAUUAAUAGGAACUAGGAUGGAACCUACAUAUGACACUUAUUUGAAAAGAAACCCAUCUUCAAACUAUAGAUUUACUGAGAAAAGGCUAGUACUCUGUUGGACUUUGGAAGACAUGACUUUUGAUGAAGAGAGGAAGCAUGAUUAAAGGCAUGUAAAAUGGAGCAUGUGUGGAGAGCAUUCGUGACAGCCCUUAUAGGCUUGAACUCUGUGAUGACCAGAGCUACACAUGAUAAUCUUUAGUGGAUCUGCAUCAUGAUUUUAUACAAAGGUAAGGAAGUGGUUUUUUUCUUUUGAUUUCAUUUCCAAAUUGAACAUAAUCAACAUUGUUAUUAUUUUUUUUGCUUGUAGGGAUACACUGGCCAGGUAUCUCUGAGAACAUCAUGUCCUGGUGCCUAGGUCUUUUUCCUGACAUUACAGAGUUCAAUACGCUUUAUGUACAGUUGGGAUUUUCAUUCCCAACUUUUAAGCAUAUUGUUACGGAAGUUUAACUGCUAGUUUUCGCUGAUUUAUGUAAUUUCCUAAAAUCCAUUUGCAGUUAUUCCCUGCUACAUACUGAGGAAAAGGAAGAAGGAGGAAUAGAUAAAUCUAGCGUCUCUCUUGAAAACCACAGUUUAUGCAAUG
rnacentral:lncRNA from 10 species